GUAUAUAUAUAUAUAUAUAUGGAAAAUGAUAUUUUAACACCAAUUUUUGACAUCAUUUUGAUAUUGCACACGUGUCAAAAUAUGGUUGGACGAUUUCAAAUUAAAAAAAACUGAGGUAAGGACAUAUUUGGAAGAGAAAAACCAAAAUUUCUUUUUUAAUUUGAAAUUGUCCAACUACAUUUUGACACGUGUGCAAUGUUAAAAAUGGUGUCAAAAAAUUGGUGUUAAAAUAUUAUUUUUAUAUAUAUAAGUAAAUAACAAUUUAUUAUGCUUCUUAUCAAUUUAGUAUUAAUUAUCGGCUAAAUAAAUGGUGCAUCCAAUUCAUCCUAUUUGUUAAUGUGUUCAUGUUUUUUUAAACUUAACCCUUAGUGAAAGGGCAAUAGCAUCAAUCUUUGAG
rnacentral:lncRNA from 1 species